rnacentral:rRNA from 1 species
UACGGAGGAUCCAAGCGUUAUCCGGAAUCAUUGGGUUUAAAGGGUCCGUAGGCGGUUUAGUAAGUCAGUGGUGAAAGCCCAUCGCUCAACGGUGGAACGGCCAUUGAUACUGCUAGACUUGAAUUAUUAGGAAGUAACUAGAAUAUGUAGUGUAGCGGUGAAAUGCUUAGAGAUUACAUGGAAUACCAAUUGCGAAGGCAGGUUACUACUAAUGGAUUGACGCUGAUGGACGGAAAAGCGUGGGGUAGCGAAACAGGG